GGUGAACGCUGGCGGCGUGCCUAAUACAUGCAAGUCGAGCGAACAGAUGAGGAGCUUGCUCCUCUGACGUUAGCGGCGGACGGGUGAGUAACACGUGGAUAACCUACCUAUAAGACUGGGAUAACUUCGGGAAACCGGAGCUAAUACCGGAUAAUAUAUUGAACCGCAUGGUUCAAUAGUGAAAGACGGUUUUGCUGUCACUUAUAGAUGGAUCCGCGCCGCAUUAGCUAGUUGGUAAGGUAACGGCUUACCAAGGCAACGAUGCGUAGCCGACCUGAGAGGGUGAUCGGCCACACUGGAACUGAGACACGGUCCAGACUCCUACGGGAGGCAGCAGUAGGGAAUCUUCCGCAAUGGGCGAAAGCCUGACGGAGCAACGCCGCGUGAGUGAUGAAGGUCUUCGGAUCGUAAAACUCUGUUAUUGGGGAAGAACAAAUGUGUAAGUAACUAUGCACGUCUUGACGGUACCUAAUCAGAAAGCCACGGCUAACUACGUG
rnacentral:rRNA from 1 species